rnacentral:rRNA from 1 species
GACGAACGCUGGCGGCGUGCUUAACACAUGCAAGUCGAACGGAAAGGCCCUGCUUUUGUGGGGUGCUCGAGUGGCGAACGGGUGAGCAACACGUGAGUAACCUGCCCUUGACUUUGGGAUAACUUCAGGAAACUGGGGCUAAUACCGGAUAGGGGCUCCUGCUGCAUGGUGGGGGUUGGAAAGUUUCGGCGGUUGGGGAUGGACUCGCGGCUUAUCGGCUUGUUGGUGGGGUAGUGGCUUACCAAGGCUUUGACGGGUAGCCGGCCUGAGAGGGUGACCGGCCACAUUGGGACUGAGAUACGGCCCAGACUCCUACGGGAGGCAGCAGUGGGGAAUAUUGCACAAUGGGCGGAAGCCUGAUGCAGCAACGCCGCGUGCGGGAUGACGGCCUUCGGGUUGUAAACCGCUUUCGCCUGUGACGAAGCGUGAGUGACGGUAAUGGGUAAAGAAGCACCGGCUAACUACGUG